AUUUGUUUGUUCAAACUACACCACCAGCCCAGGCACCUAUUUAUGUAUCAUGGGAGCUCUCAUUAGCAACCUUUUAUUAUAUCAAGACUAAAUUUGUCUUGUUGUGACUUCCUUCCAUUGAUCUUAAUCAAGGAGUCUUCCAUGAAGUCUUUCCCUUGGAAGCCUGGGGCAGGGUCUUGCAUUCUUCCAGACGAGACACUUUGCCUUCUGAAAGAGCUCUGUUGGUGGACCUGCUUCUUCCAUCUGUUGAGCUUGUUGGAGAAAACAGGUGUUGGGAUGGGUAAAAACAAAGUCAACAAGCCGUGAGAUGUAGCCUUCCUGGCCUUUGCAAGAAUGACUCCAACAUGUGCAUAAAUAAUGGCUGCAUUAUGAGCCUGGUGCUUUAUUUAUAGCUAAUAGAUAAGUUCAUUUCCAACUGAUUGCUAUUAAUAUUCCAUUACUGACAUAUUGUUUUUACCGCUAUUUAAAGCUUCCAUGUGUGAGACGUGAAGGAUGCAGCAGGUCUCAGUGUAAAGGGGAGAACAUAGAGGAGAAAUGACUUUCUUGGCAGAAGCUAGACCUAGAAGAGAGCUAAGGAGGAUGCAUGCACAAGCAUGUGGAGGUCAGGCCAUCUGAGGACUAGUAGGAAAAAGGGGGAGGUUUAGCAAGGAGGGAGAAGAUUUAGGAACAUCUAAAGGGCUGUUAUUAAGGAUGUGAAGGG
rnacentral:lncRNA from 1 species